UGGGAAUCUUCCGCAAUGGACGAAGUCUGACGGAGCAACGCCGCGUGUAUGAUGAAGGUCUUCGGAUUGNAAAGUACUGUCAUGGGGAAGAACGGUUUCUUGAGAAUAUUGAGAAGACAUGACGGUACCCAAGGAGGAAGCCCCGGCUAACUACGUGCCAGCAGCCGCGGUAAUACGUAGGGGGCAAGCGUUGUCCGGAAUUAUUGGGCGUAAAGGGCGCGUAGGCGGCCUUUAAGUCCGGUGUGAAAGAUCAGGGCUCAACCCUGAGAGUGCAUCGGAAACUGGAGGCCUUGAGGACAGGAGAGGAAAGUGGAAUUCCACGUGUAGCGGUGAAAUGCGUAGAUAUGUGGAGGAACACCAGUGGCGAAGGCGACUUUCUGGACUGUAACUGACGCUGAGGCGCGAAAGCGU
rnacentral:rRNA from 1 species